CGAGGGAAAGAGCUGGGCGGGACCAUUCCUCUCGGGCGGGGAGGGGAGCGCGGCGGGAAGGGGGCGGCGCCGCGCGGAGGAGACGGGCAGAAAGCGGCAGGCGAGCUUUUGAAAGAGGUCUGGAGUGGUGCAGUCCAUUGUGUCAUAUCGUUCCCGCUUUGCUCCUCAGCCCAUGUGAUGGUCCCCAGCAAAAAUCCUCACCAGUAGGAGAGAGCUGUGUUGCCCCCCGUAGUUUAGGGGAAUACCCAGCUGUCAGGGGACUCCCAGAUGGCUGGAAGUAUCCAAAGUCCUGUCCCAUUGCGUAAGCUGCUCCAGUCGGGGUUCCCAAAGGCAGCAGUUCAGCAUGCGUGGGGCUCAUCCGCUCCGUCUUCAACAUCUCCAGCGCUGUACCUGCUCUGCAGCCCCGGCCCUGGGCCAAGGGAGCUCGAGGUGGCUUACGAAUCAUUUUAAAGCGGGCAACAAAAUGACAGCAAGGCAGUACAGUGAAAAACAAACUUCAAAACCAGAUAAAAACAGUAUAAAUAGUACAACGAGAAUGAUCGGAAGACUUGUUUUGUCAGAAGUCUUUUUAUUUAGGCGUUUAUUCAAGUGUUAACAAGGAUGAUUAUGCUUUUCUAUGUAUGUAAAUCUGCUUUUUCUUCUUUUGUAUUUUCUUCUUUUUUUCUUUCUUAAUUGCUUUUUUCUUUAAUUUUCUUU